rnacentral:rRNA from 1 species
GAGAGUGUUGUACCCCAGCAUAAGCUGGUGGUUGCUGACUUCCGCUUUCGGAUUCGUGUCCAGUGGAAUAAGCAUGCCAAGGUCGCUAGAACGAAGUGGUGGAAGCUCAAGGGGGAGGUAGCUCAGCUGUUCAAGGAGAGGGUAUUUAAGGAGGGCCCUUGGGAGGAAGGAGGGGAUGCGGACAAUGUGUGGAUGAAGAUGGCGACUUGCAUUCGUAAGGUGGCCUCGGAGGAGUUUGGAGUGUCCAGGGAAAGGAGAAGCGAAGAUAAGGAUACCUGGUGGUGGAAUGAUGAUGUCCAGAAGGCGCUUAAAGAGAAGAAAGAUUGCUUCAGACGCCUAUACCUAGAUAGGAGUGCAGACAACAUAGAGAAGUAA